rnacentral:misc_RNA from 1 species
GUAGGUGAACCUGCGGAAGGAUCAUUAACAAAUCAAUGUGUAUGUAUGUAUGUAUGUAUGUAUGGUAUGUGUAAGAUUGAUGAUAUUAGUAAAAUAAUAACAUUUAUACACAUACAUACAUACAUGACAACAACAUUUACACCGGGUGAUAGUAAAAUAUCGCCCUGUGGUUCGUGAUAUAUAAGAGUGGUAGAAUUUUCUACUAUAAAGAUAUAUUACAAUAUUAACGUUUUCUAUGAUUGAUUGACUG